CCCAGCAACGCUAGAGCACUAUCUCACUGCAGUUCUUGCCUGGUGUGCCACUGAAGCUAAGCAGGGUUGAGCCUGGCUUGUACCUCGAUGGGAGACCUCCUGGGGAAAGCUAAGUUUGCUGCUGGAA
ensembl:rRNA 5S_rRNA 5S ribosomal RNA